GCGCACAGAGCUGCAUAGCUCGGUGUGAAAAACUCCGGUGGUAUGAGAUGAGCCCGCGUCUGAUUAGGUAGUUGGUGAGGUAACGGCCCACCAAGCCGACGAUCAGUAGCCGACCUGAGAGGGUGAUCGGCCACAUUGGGACUGAGACACGGCCCAAACUCCUACGGGAGGCAGCAGUGGGGAAUAUUGCACAAUGGGGGAAACCCUGAUGCAGCGACGCCGCGUGAAGGACGACGUAUUUCGGUAUGUAAACUUCUAUCGGCAGGGAAGAUAAUGACGGUACCUGACUAAGAAGCCCCGGCUAACUACGUGCCAGCAGCCGCGGUAAUACGUAGGGGGCAAGCGUUAUCCGGAUUUACUGGGUGUAAAGGGAGCGUAGGCGGCUUGGUAAGUCAGAAGUGAAAGCCCAGGGCUUAACCCUGGGACUGCUUUUGAAACUGCCAGGCUUGAUUGCCGGAGAGGUAAGUGGAAUUCCUAGUGUAGCGGUGAAAUGCGUAGAUAUUAGGAGGAACACCAGUGGCGAAGGCGGCUUACUGGACGAUGACCGAC
rnacentral:rRNA from 1 species